CAGUAGCCACGGUAAUACUUAGGGUGCGAGCGUUAAUCGGAAUUACUGGGCGUAAAGCGUGCGCAGGCGGUUCGUUAAGACAGAUGUGAAAUCCCCGGGCUUAACCUGGGAACUGCAUUUGUGACUGACGGGCUAGAGUAUGGCAGAGGGGGGUAGAAUUCCACGUGUAGCAGUGAAAUGCGUAGAGAUGUGGAGGAAUACCGAUGGCGAAGGCAGCCCCCUGGGCCAAUACUGACGCUCAUGCACGAAAGCGUGGGGAGCAAACAGGAUUAGAUACCCCCGUAGUCCCUGUCUCUUAUAC
rnacentral:rRNA from 1 species